UACGGGGGGAGCAAGCGUUGUUCGGAUUUACUGGGCGUAAAGGGCGCGUAGGCGGCCACCGCAAGUCGAUUGUGAAAUCUCCGGGCUUAACCCGGAAAGGUCAACCGAUACUGCGGGGCUAGAGUGCAGAAGGGGCAACUGGAAUUCUCGGUGUAGCGGUGAAAUGCGUAGAUAUCGAGAGGAACACCUGCGGCGAAGGCGGGUUGCUGGGCUGACACUGAGACACGAAAGCCAGGGGAGCAAACGGG
rnacentral:rRNA from 1 species